AUACGUAGGUGGCAAGCGUUGUCCGGAUUUACUGGGUGUAAAGGGGGCGCAGGCGGGAAGCUAAGUUGGAUGUGAAAUACCGGGGCUCCACUCCGGAGCUGCAUCCAAAACUGGUUUUCUUGAGUGGAGUAGAGGCAAGCGGAAUUCCGAGUGUAGCGGUGAAAUGCGUAGAUAUACGGAGGAACCCCAGUGGCGAAGGCGACUUGCUGGGCACUAAGUGACUCUGAGGCCCGAAAGCGUGGGGAUCAAACAGGAGUAGAUACCCUGGUAGUCCACGCCGUAAACGAUGAUUACUAGGUGUGGUGGGUCUGACCCCUUCCGUGCCGCAGUUAACGCAAUAAGUAAUCCCCCUGGGGAGUAAGGCAGCAAGGCUGAAACUCAAAGGAAUUGACGGGG
rnacentral:rRNA from 1 species